UACGGAGGGUGCAAGCGUUAUCCGGAUUUACUGGGUUUAAAGGGUGCGUAGGCGGGCCCUUAAGUCAGUGGUGAAAGCUCCGAGCUUAACUCGGAAACUGCCAUUGAUACUAUAGGUCUUGAAUUCGGUCGAGGUUGGCGGAAUGUGUCGUGUAGCGGUGAAAUGCUUAGAUAUGACACAGAACACCGAUGGCGAAGGCAAUCCCCUGGGCCUGCACUGACGCUCAUGCACGAAAGCGUGGGGAGCAAACAGG
rnacentral:rRNA from 1 species